AUGCAAGACUACUUCGCGGACAAUCCUACCUAUCCGCCGCACCUCGUCUGGAGAAGGUAUCGAAUGAGUCGAUCACUCUUCAUAAAAAUUGUGCAAGCUUGCGAGGCCAAUUGUCGGUUUUUUACUCAAAGGAGAAAUGCCACGGGCCUGUUGGGUUUUAGCGCCUAUCAAAAAAUCUCCGCUGCUAUGCGGGCGAUUGCAUAUGGUAUUCCGGCUGACUAUGCUGACGAGUAUCUUCACAUUGACGAAAAUACUACAAUUGAGUCGGUGCGUAGGUUUGCCAAAGUGAUGACCCGCAUCUUUGGUCCUGUCUAUCUUCGUGCACCCAACAAGGAAGACACAAUAAAGUUGAUGGCAGCAAAUGAGAAGCGAGGUUGGCCCGAUAUGCUAGGAAGCGUUGAUUGCAUGCAUUGGACUUGGAAAAACUGCCCAAAGGCAUGGCACGAGCAGUAUUGUGGCAAGUCUCGUGAUUUAACAAUUGUGCUAGAGGCCGUAGCAUCCGAGGAUUUAUGGAUUUGGCAUUUUUUUUUGUAUGUCGGGUAUUCUCAAUGA
rnacentral:rRNA from 1 species